rnacentral:rRNA from 1 species
AUUGAACGCUGGCGGUAUGCUUAACACAUGCAAGUCGAACGGUAGCAGCUCUUCGGAGGCUGACGAGUGGCGGACGGGUGAGUAACGCGUAGGAAUCUGCCUGUUAGUGGGGGACAACUUAGGGAAACUUAAGCUAAUACCGCAUACGCCCUACGGGGGAAAGGAGGGGAUCUUCGGACCUUUCGCUAACAGAUGAGCCUGCGUAGGAUUAGCUAGUUGGUAGGGUAAAAGCCUACCAAGGCGACGAUCCUUAGCUGUUCUGAGAGGAAGAUCAGCCACACUGGGACUGAGACACGGCCCAGACUCCUACGGGAGGCAGCAGUGGGGAAUAUUGGGACAAUGGGCGAAAGCCUGAUCCAGCAAUACCGCGUGUGUGAAGAAGGCCUUAGGGUUGUAAAGCACUUUCAAUUGGAAGGAAAAAACCAGGGUCAAUACCCCUGGUCUUGACAUUACCUUUAGAAGAAGCACCGGCUAACUCCGUG